GAGGGGUGCAAGCGUUGCUCGGAAUUAUUGGGCGUAAAGGGUAGGUAGGUGGUCUCAUUUGUCCGGGGUGAAAUCCUUGGGCUUAACUCAAGAAGUGCCCCGGAAACGGUGAGACUAGAGUACUGGAGAGGGUCGUGGAAUUCCCGGUGUAGCGGUGAAAUGCGUAGAGAUCGGGAGGAACACCAGAGGCGAAGGCGGCGACCUGGACAGUUACUGACACUCAACUACGAAAGCGUGGGGAGCAAACAGGAUUAGAUACCCUGGUAGUCCACGCCGUAAACGAUGAGUAUUAGGCUUGGCGGGUCUUGACCCCUGCUGAGCCGGCGCUAACGCAAUAAAUACUCCGCCUGGGAAGUACGGUCGCAAGACUA
rnacentral:rRNA from 1 species